UCCGGUUUUCAAACUCUGGCCCAGCAGUUCUCAGAAAUGCCUUUGCCAGAUGUGAUAUUUGGUCAUGUUGAAGGGAUGCUGCUAAACAUCUACAAUGCCCAGGCCAACACCCAGCUCAAAGAAUGAUCCUGCUACAAAAGGUGACUUCAGAAUAGAUUCCACUUGGAGAUGUAUUUUAUUGUCAAUGACUAAUUGCUAAUGACUGUGGUAGACCAAGUGGACACAAGGGUGUACAGAAGACCAACAGCCUACAUCUUUCGGAUGGUGGUGGAGGUGAAGCAGAUGUCUACAAGCGACAGGU